AGAGAGAGACAUGCGCGCAUAUCAAUAAGCGGAGGAAAAGAAACUAACAAGGAUUCCCUUAGUAACGGCGAGUGAAGCGGGAAGAGCUCAAAUUUGAAAUCUUCAAGGUUUUACCUUGACGAAUUGUAGUUUAAAGAAGUGUUUUCUGCUGAAGUUUUGGUAAAAGUUCUUUGGAAUAGGACAUCAUAGAGGGUGAGAAUCCCGUAUUUGACCAUUAUUUUCAGCUUUGUGAUACACUUUCAAAGAGUCGGAUUGUUUGGGAAUGCAGUCCAAAAUGGGUGGUAAAUUUCAUCUAAAGCUAAAUAUUGGCGAGAGACCGAUAGCGAACAAGUACCGUGAGGGAAAGAUGAAAAGAACUUUGAAAAGAGAGUUAAACAGUACGUGAAAUUGUCAAAAGGGAAGCGUUUGACACCAGUGUUGUUUUCUCGAAAAUCAAUUAAAAAUGGCUCGAUUUUGUAUUGCUUGAGACCUUAAAAGCUCACUGUACAUUUUUCGUGUCUUUUUUAAUGCACUUUUCGUUUAACAAGUUCAACAUCAGUUUCUUUUGUUGUAAAAGGGUCAUUGGAAGGUGGCCUUUCUUUUCGGAGAAAGUGUUUAUAGCCUUUGGCCUCUGCAAUCGGAGAGACUGAGGUCUGCAGCGUAGACUCUUCGGGGUUAGAUACAUUUGUGCUAAGUUAUAGCUUUUUAUAGACAACUUGUUGACUAUAAUUAGUCUUGUAGCUUACUCGCUUAUGCUAUUUUACCUACGCUUAGGAUGUUGAGUCGUAGAGCACGCA
rnacentral:rRNA from 1 species